GCAGUAGCUAUUUAGUGUGAUAAUGGCGUUUGAUAGUUUGGACACAAACACCAUUGUCACACUCCACAGCUCUG
rnacentral:pre_miRNA from 1 species